GAUUAACGCUAGCGGCAGGCCUAAUACAUGCAAGUCGAACGGCAGCACGGGUAGCAAUACCUGGUGGCGAGUGGCGCACGGGUGCGUAACGCGUAUGCAAUCUACCUGUAACUGGGGAAUAGCCUUCCGAAAGGAAGAUUAACACCGCAUAAAAUCACGAAGCGGCAUCGUUUUGUGAUCAAAUCUCCGGAGGUUACAGAUGAGCAUGCGUGACAUUAGCUAGUUGGUGAGGUAACGGCCCACCAAGGCUACGAUGUCUAGGGGGUCUGAGAGGAUGACUCCCCCACACUGGUACUGAGACACGGACCAGACUCCUACGGGAGGCAGCAGUAAGGAAUAUUGGACAAUGGGCGCAAGCCUGAUCCAGCCAUGCCGCGUGCAGGAU
rnacentral:rRNA from 1 species